UAUCAUAAUUGCGCACAGUUCGUGGAUCACUGCUAUAGAACACGUUCAAUUUUUGAAGAUGAGCAAACAUCUUUCACAUCUGACUAAGAUAACCAAGUGUAUGAUAUUUUGUGUUCCUAUUCAGCCAUGCAAAUUCUUAAAACUGGCACGAUAACACCAAUAAAAUUGAAUGCGGUGUUUUGUGGAUUGACAUAUGGCCCUCCGGACCAUGUUUGUCUGUCUGUUACCUUUGUGAUUGUUCUAUGCAUAAAUUUGGCGCGGCAGUACAUGUUCGGUAUAGCACGAAGAGUUUGACUUCGACACAAGAUAGGAGACUCAAAAAUGAAUUGUUUGCUGUUCACUCUGACUUUUCUUGUGCUGGUGGUCGCCCCUGCUGUUGCUUUGAAAUGUUACGUCCGCG
rnacentral:misc_RNA from 1 species